rnacentral:lncRNA from 1 species
UUGCUGGUGUAUGGUGAGAUAGUAGUUGUGUCAGUAGUGUAUAAUUGGUCUUAGUUGUGUUGGUGGUGUAUGAUGAGAUAAUAGUUGUGUUGGUAGUGUAUAAUUGGUCUAAGUUGUGUUGGUGGUGUAUAAUGAAAUGGUAGUUGUGUUGGUGGUGUAUAAUUGGGCUUAGUUGUGUUGGUAGUGUAUGAUGAGAUGGUAGUUGUGUUGGUAGUGUAUAAUUGGUCUUAGUUGUGUUGGUGGUGUAUGAUGAGAUAAUAGUUGUGUUGGUAGUGUAUAAUUGGUCUAAGUUGUGUUGGUGGUGUAUAAUGAAAUGGUAGUUGUGUUGGUGGUGUAUAAUUGGGCUUAGUUGUGUUGGUAGUGUAUGAUGAGAUGAUAGUUGUGUUGGUGGUGUAUAAUUGGUCUAAGUUGUGUUGGUGGUGUAUAAUGAGAUGGUAGUUGUGUUGGUGGUGUAUAAUUUGUCUUAGUUGUGUUGGUGGUGUAUGACGAGAUGGUAGUUGUGUUGGCAGUGUAUAAUUGGUCUUAGUUGUGUUGCUGGUGUAUGGUGAGAUAGUAGUUGUGUCAGUAGUGUAUAAUUGGUCUUAGUUGUGUUGGUGGUGUAUGAUGAGAUGAUAGUUGUGUUGGUGGUGUAUAAUUGGUCUAAGUUGUUUUGGUGGUGUAUGAUGAGAUGGUAGUUGUGUUGGUGGUGUAUAUUUUGUCUAAGUUGUGUUGGUGGUGUAUGAUGAGAUGGUAGUUGUGUUGGUGGUGUAUAAUUGGUCUUAGUUAUGUUGGUGGUGUAUGAUGAGAUGGUAGUUGUGUUGGUGGUGUAUAAUUGGUCUUAGUUGUGUUGGUGGUGUAUGAUGAGAUGGUAGUUGUGUUGGUGGUGUAUAAUUGGUCUUAGUUGUGUUGGUGGUGUAUGAUGAGACGGUAGUUGUGUUGGUAGUGUAUAAUUGGUCUUAGUUGUGUUGGUGGUGUUAUGAUGAGAUGGUUAUUGUGUUGGCAGUGUAUACUUGGUUUUAGUUGUGUUGGUG